rnacentral:snoRNA from 1 species
AGGGGCGUGAGGACACUUUCCCCAAAUGAUCGACGCUGAUUCCAACAAAUGCUAUCUCAAUUACUCAACAAUUGCCAGAAUAUCUGAUCCCU